AGAGUUUGAUCCUGGCUCAGAUUGAACGCUGGCGGCAUGCCUUACACAUGCAAGUCGAACGGCAGCGACGGGGGCAACCCUGGUGGCGAGUGGCGAACGGGUGAGUAAUGCAUCGGAACGUGCCCAGUAGGUGGGGGAUAGCCCGGCGAAAGCCGGAUUAAUACCGCAUACGUACUGAGGUAGAAAGCGGGGGACCGAAAGGCCUCGCGCUAUUGGAGCGGCCGAUGUCGGAUUAGCUUGUUGGUGGGGUAAUGGCCUACCAAGGCGACGAUCCGUAACUGGUCUGAGAGGACGACCAGUCACACUGGGACUGAGACACGGCCCAGACUCCUACGGGAGGCAGCAGUGGGGAAUUUUGGACAAUGGGCGAAAGCCUGAUCCAGCAAUGCCGCGUGUGUGAAGAAGGCCUUCGGGUUGUAAAGCACUUUUGUCCGGAAAGAAAUCCGUCUGGCUAAUACCCGGACGGGAUGACGGUACCGGAAGAAUAAGCACCGGCUAACUACGUG
rnacentral:rRNA from 1 species